rnacentral:rRNA from 1 species
CUGAGUACGGCGGAACACGUGAAAUUCCGUCGGAAUCCGGGAGGACCAUCUCCCAAGGCUAAAUACUCCCUAGUGACCGAUAGUGAACCAGUACCGUGAGGGAAAGGUGAAAAGCACCCCGGAAGGGGAGUGAAACAGUUCCUGAAACCGUGUGCCUACAAGUAGUUAGAGCCCGUUAAUGGGUGAUAGCGUGCCUUUUGUAGAAUGAACCGGCGAGUUACGAUUUGUUGCAAGGUUAAGCGGAAAAAGCGGAGCCGUAGCGAAAGCGAGUCUGAAUAGGGCGCAUAAGUAACAGGUCGUAGACCCGAAACCAGGUGAUCUACCCAUGUCCAGGAUGAAGGUAAGGUAAUACUUACUGGAGGUCCGAACCCACGCACGUUGAAAAGUGCGGGGAUGAGGUGUGGGUAGCGGAGAAAUUCCAAUCGAACUUGGAGAUAGCUGGUUCUCUCCGAAAUAGCUUUAGGGCUAGCCUCGAGGUAAAGAGUCAUGGAGGUAGAGCACUGUUUGGACUAGGGGCCCUUCUCGGGUUACCGAAUUCAGAUAAACUCCGAAUGCCAUGUACUUAUACUCGGGAGUCAGACUGCGAGUGAUAAGAUCCGUAGUCG